rnacentral:lncRNA from 1 species
CUUCAGGACAGAGUGCAGUCUGUUGAGAGCUGGGCUUUCAAAAUGGUACUUUACUCUAGCUGCGUAAGACUUUGGACACAGCAUGAGUGGGACACAGCAUGAGCUCCCUCUCUGGAGCAGUGCCAUUGCUUACUCUCCAGUCUCCAGGCAGUUUCCUAUGUUAGCUUCAGAGCCUAUGAAGUUUAAGGGGCUCUCUCGUGGCUGGUAUUGCAGUUCACAGUGGGAAUUUCAACCACUGAGGAGUACUUCACUUAUCCUUUUCCCACACUGGGGAGUCUCUCCAAGCUCAUAGCUGAUCCCCGCCAAGCAGGCUGCUUCACUUCCCUCUCCUUUUUCGCUUUAGGUGUUUCCUGUCACAUCCCUAUUGAAUUCCAGUGUUAUCCAAUGAUCUAUUGAAAAUGUGAUUACCUACUCGCUAAUUAGUCUCCUUUUUACAGAAGAGCACGUGGAAAGCAAGACCCCUGAGGGCGCAGGUUUUAGUCAACUUUCAUUCAGUGCCGCUUCUACAGAGUUGAACACUUUCCGGUACAUUAAAUGCUCUCGACAGAAUACCGACUUACUGUGAAAACUUUUAUCUGCAAAUCCAGUUUUGCACUUCGAAUAUGGAAAAACUGAACUUACAUAAUUUGAAGGAUGUUGGUCCACACCUAUAAGAGUUUCUCUAUGGAUAUACCUAGGAGUGGAACUGCUGGGCCAUUGAGAAUGCUCAUUUUUGGCUUUGCAAGAUACAAGUUAGUUUUUCAAAGUAGGCACAUAAGAAAACAUUCCCAACAGACUCUGGUGGAAAAAAAAUAUAUAUAUACACAUAUAUUUGCUUAAAAAAUGAAUUAUUUGUAUUCAAAAGGAGAAGAAACUUUCUUCUGGCAUUUUUGGAGGUGAUCUCUGCACACGCUGGCUCCAUUUUGCCUUCCAUCAUGAGUAGAAGCAGCCCAAGGCCUUCACCACAUUUCCUAUCUUGAACCUUCCAGCAAGAAGAAUCAUGAACCAAAUAAACUGCUUUUCUUUAUAAACUAUUCAGCUUCAUGUAUUCCUUUACAGCAACACUAAAUGGACUAAGACAAAUUGAUAAAGAAAAUGUGAUAUCUAUACAUCUCUCUGUCUAUAAAGAUAAGAUACCAAUUACAAUGGAACAUUGUUCAGCCAUAAAAAGAAGAAAAUUCUGGAAUUUCAGAUGUCAUGGAUGAAUCUGGAGGAAAUUAUGCAAAGAAAAAUAAGCUAGACACAGAAAGACAAAUACUAUAUAAUCUCACUUAUACGUGGAAUCUGAAAAGUUGAACUCGGAAGCAGAGACUGAAUGGUAGUUGCCAGGGGCUGGGAGCAGGGAGAAGAGAAUUGAAAGAAGGAAACGGGAGAUAUUGGUCAAAGAGACAAACAUUCAGUUAUAAGGUGAAUAAGUUCUGGAGAUCUAAUAUAUAUAGCAUGGUAACGAUCAUUAAUUAUACCAUAUUGUAUACUUGAAAUUUGCUGAAAGUAAAUCUUAAGGGUUCUCAACAAAUACAUACAAAAAAAAGAUCACCUUACAUUACUAUGAAAGAUGAUGGAUGUGUUAACUAGCUUGAUUUUGGUAAUCAUUUCACACUGUAUAUGUAUAUCAAGUCAUGUUAUACACCUUAAAUAUAUACCGUUUUGUAUGUGGAUUACCUCAAUAAAGCUGUGGGGUGAGGAAAGAUUUGAAAAAUAUAAUAUUAUAAGCCCUAAAACUUUGAGUAAAGCUUUGAGAUUCAAGAUUUUCAAGGUCUGAAAAAUAAUGAAUUCCUUUCAUUAACAUGUAAAUUUUAGAAUCAGCCUGUUGAUUUUCACACACACACACACGCACACACACAUACACAUUGGAAUUGUUUUGAAGCCAUAGAUCAAUUUGAGAAGAACUGACAGAUUUAAAUAUUGUGUUUUCCAGGCCAUGAACAUGUUAUAUAGCUCCAUUUAUUUGUGUCUUCCUUAGUUUUUUUUUUUCAGUAAUUGUUCAUACUUUUCUAUAUAGAAGUCAUGCACAAUUUUUGUAGUUAUGUCCUUAGCUGUUCAGCAUUUUUUAUGGUCUUAUAAUGCUAUUUUUCAAUAAUUUCUCUUUGUUCAUGGCAUACACACACACACACACACACACACAUAAAAUUGAUUCUUAUGUGUUUACAGUACAUCCACUGACCUUUGCUUGAUUCAUUUAUUUAGUCUAAUAGGUUAUAUGUAGAUGACUUUGGAUUUUCUAUGCAUAUAAUCAUGUCAUCUGCAAUAACAAUAGUUUUAUUUCUCCUUUUGAAUAAUUUUACUUGAGGCAAACUGGUUUAAGAUUGUCAUAACUUCCUUUGGAAUUGAUCAUUUUGACUUUAUGAAGUGGCACCCUUUAUGUCCAUUAAUACUUCUUACAUUAAACUCUAAUGAGUCUGGCAUUAGCAUAGCUAUAGCAUCUAUCUUUUUAAACAUUCUUAUGGUAUAUAUUUCCAUCUUUUUACUCUCAAUUUUAGGUAUAUAAUUGGAAUAUAUGUAUAUAUGUGGGUAGCAUAUAGUUGGGCUUUAUUUUUAAAAUCCAGUUUGACAAAAUUUAUCUUGGAGUUUUAUUUCAUUUGUAGGUAAUAUAAAUACUGAUAUACUUGUAGUUGCCUUUAAUUUUGACAUGUAGCAUAUCUCAAAUAAAGAAUUCUGAACAUAGAACAAUAGUACAAAAUACAUUUCUAAGUAUUUAGAGGCAUAACUCUUCUACUAGAAAAGACUAAACCCAGAGUAAGAGAGAGAGAGAGAGAGAGAUCUUCCACAGAUAUGCAAGUAUGAAGAGGAGGUUAUAUAUAAAGAGAGCCAGCCAUAAACACUGUUUUCCAAGUAGGCUCAGGAAGGCACCUUUUGACUGCAUAUUACAAAUUCAUAAAGAAUACUUGAGCUGGGCUCAAAUGGAAAGACAAAUUUCAAUAUCACCUAGAUCUCACAAAAGCAGAGCAUUCCAUGUCUUGUUUCAAGGUUGAGAAGUUGCUGCUAUUAGUUUGCGUUCUCCCCUUCCCCAGUUGGAUGAAAGUUGUAAAUGUUAGGGAGAGGUAAAUUAUAGUUUUGAUGCAUGAUCACCCACACUGACAAAUCAAAAUGGUACCUUGCUAUUUCCCUAGUCUAGUAUGUAAAAAUAUACUACAUCGAAGGAAUAUUUAGUAUUAGUAAGAAAAAUAAAUAUGAGAAAUACAGAUCCAAGCCCAAGAGAAAUUUUAGUGAGAUCAAUUCCUCACAUAAUCUAAUACCUAGAACCCUUACGUGAGAGGCUGUAUAGUAUAGAGGUCUAGAGUUUACUACAUGUCCAAGAUUAGGCUAUGGAAACCAACUCUUAGGUAUGCUACUUACCAAAUCUAUGAGUUAAAGACAAAUCCUAAAAUUUUUGUUGACUCAGUUUCCUCAUCUGUGAAAUGAGAAACAAUAACAGAAACUACUAUGUAAGGUAAUGUGGAGAUUAAAUUGCAUCUAAAGCAAUUGGAAAACUGCCCAGCAGAUAUAGCAAGUGUUCAAAAUGGUUAUUAUUGUCGUCAUCAUCAUCAUCAUCAUCAUCAUCAUCAUCACUGUGAUCACCUAAGUAUCCGUCCAUCUUUCAUAAGUUUCAGAUAUAUAAACAGCAGUGCUUCUAAGUUUCAAAUUACACCUCAUUGUUGAUGCUCUCUCAACAACAGUACAAAAGAUAGUCAUCGUACCACCAUCAAUGCAUGGAAGGAACCAUAAGCACAAUAUUAUAUAUUCAGUCAGCCUUUACUAUUGACAAUCAGCUUGAACAAUCAGCUUUUCUAUUCCUAAGACAGGAUAGCUAUAGAGAAAAGAGACUUAAAUAUGAAAGCUGUCCACAUCUAUUUCAAGGACAAAAAAGACACUCUUUCAGCUCUCUACUCAUAUUGCAGCAAUGCACAGGAAUUGGACACAAAAAAUCGGCAAAGAGUCUUUUAUAUUUUGUCGUAUAUUCUCAGGACAUGGAUUUAAGCUGUAAUUCAAAUUUAUUUCUCAUACUGCACAUAUGCUUAUAUUUGUUAUAAAAUUGAAAAUGACAGAAGAUUGUGGGUUAUACUUCAAAGAUAAAUUUUUAAAAAAUACAAUGCAUUAUAAUUUUUAUAGUCAGUAUUCUGUGUAAUAGAUCCCUAAAGAUUUUUCCUCCUCUCUUCUGGAAACUGUACCUUUUGAUCAACAUCUCUCCUAUCUCCAUCACCUUCCCCUCCCCAAGUCUCUCGUAAGACCUCUACCCUCUACUUCCAGGAGUUCAACUUUUUUUUCAAUUCUACAUAUAAAUGGGGUCAUACUGUAUUUGUCUUUGUGUGCCAGCUUUUUUCACUUAGCAUAAUGUCCUCCAGGUUCAUCCAUGCUGUUGUAAAUGACAUGAUUUCCCCCUUUUACAAGGCUGAGUAAUACUUCAUUAGGUAUGUAUACCAAACUUUACUCAUUCAUCUGAUGAUGGAGAGGUUGCUUCCAUGUCUUGGCUAUUGUGAAUAAUGCUGCAAUAAACAUGGGAGUGCAAAUAUCUCCUCAGCAUACUGAUUUCAAUUCCCUUGGUCAUAUACCCAGAAAGGGGAUUACUGGAACAUAUGAUAGUUCUAUUUUCUAAGGAACCUCCAUAACGGUUUUCAUCAUAACUAUAUUAAUUUACUUUCCUACCAAUAAUGUACAAAGGUUUCCUUUUCUCCACCUCCUCGCCAACACUUAACAUCUCUUGUUUUUUGGUAAUACCCAUUCUAACAGGUGUGUGAUAAUAUUUCAUUAUGGUUUUCAUUUGCAUUUUCCUGAUGACCAGCGAUGAAAAGCAUAGUGUCUUGUAUCUGAUGACCAUUUGUAUAUCCUCUUUUGAAAUGUAUCUAUUUAGUUUCUUUGCACAUUUUUUGAUUGGGUUUUGUUUCCUUGCUAUUCAGUUGUUUGAAUUCCUGAUAUAUUUUUGAUAUUAGCCCUUAUCAGACGUAUGCUUUGCAAAUAUUUUCUCCCAAUCCAUGGGUUGUCUAUUCAGAGGUCAAUAUUUUUAUUUCUAAUUAUAUGGAGUUUAUAAAUUAUCUAGACGCAAAAUUAUAUAUUUGUUUUACUUGUUUGGCAUUUACUGUGUUAUUUUUAUUUUUCUCAUUUUUGCAAUAAAUAUUUACAGUCCUUAUACCUUGUUUUGGAGCUAGGAGGAAAACUUUAUUAAGUCAUCCAAGACAGAAUUAGAGUGACCAUCAAUAUGAAGACUCCUUCCCACAGGAUAGGCAGAAACUCAAACUUACAAAAGAUACAGAAAAAAAAAUCUAUCCUUUACAACAAUCCAAAUUAUUUUAAACUCAUUUUUAACUUAACUUUCCACAAACAAUAUAUUUUCCAUAUUUUCUAAAGGUCUAUUGGGGGAGCCAGAGUCUGUGUAAUAUGCUCAGUCCAUCAUCUUGAAACAAUUCCAAAAAAACAUAUCUUCAUUUUCUAAACUCCUAAUUUAUCUACUUUUCAUAUGGCAUUUGCCACUCUCUACCUUGUGCUUCAAUUAUCUGAGCCAUUGUCCUCUCUCCCCUACUAGCUCCUAUAGUGACAAGUAGACAUGGCCAUAGAGAUGCAAG